rnacentral:misc_RNA from 1 species
GUGAAUCAUCGAAUCUUUGAACGCAAAUUGCGCUCGAGGCUUCGGCCGAGAGCAUGCCUGCCUCAGUGUCGGUUUCACCCUCGCCCACCCUCUCUCCCUUUUUCUAACGAAAGAGAGAGAGAGGGGAGCGGAUCUGGCCGUCCCGGUCUCACGACCGGGUCUGCUAAAGCGCAGAGGCUUGAGCGGGAUCCCUUCUAAUGUGGGAACAACAGACCGGUAGGUGAGCCCUUCUCCCCGGAGAAGGAUCGCAUGCCGCUGCUGGACCCCGGGACCCGCUGGACGCCCAGCAGGAGACGGCGU